AGGUGUACAAUGAAAGAAAGCAGUAUGUGAAAGAAUGGAAGAAAAGAAAAAGAAUGGCAACUGAUCUCAUUGAUGCUAUUCUGGAAGGGUAUCCUAAGACCAAAAAGCAAUUCUUUGAGGAAGUUGGAUUGGAAACUGAUGAAGACUACAAGGUUACGAUUCCCGAUCUUUGACUGUGUGGACCAUUUUUAACUGAAGUUAAUAGUGCAAGUGUUAUGUCUUGCCACAGAGUUGAUUGAGUUUUCUAAUCUACUCUUGAACUUUUGGCUUAUGUAAAUGGAAUGAAGGGCGGAAACAUGAAAAUGAGCUGUUGCAUAUGUAAAAAUGUCCACACAACCCCAUUUAUUUCAAGGUCUGUUAUUGUAUAGGUUCCAUUUAUAGCCAGUGAAUUUUCUGUGCGUUAGUGUUAUGGCUACAGUACAUUUGUGUUUUUGUAUUUGAUCAAUAUAUCCCUAGAGGGGAAGUGCAGCCUUGUUAUAACUGUUGCAAUAAUUUCUCUGACAAAAAUAGAGUACGUUUCCUAGAAGACAAAAGAGUUUGUACUAGACUGCAGCACCCUUUCUUUGAAGCACUUGUUCUCACCUUCUUUUUAAAGCAUCAGUGUCUGAUCCACAAGUUGAUCUUGACUCUACUUGCCACAUACUGACGUAGUGUCAUGAUCUUAAUGAUACUACUAGCAAGUGGGGGGGCAUGAACAGCCACUUUUGAAGAUAGCUUAGCAUCUCCAUGUCAUUAUGACACUGUUGGAUCUAAUCUUAGCAUUCUCCUGUUUUUAUGUUUGUACCUUUGUGAUGUACUAAGUAGCUAAAAGAUAGAGAUUCAGAUAUGCAGCAUCCAGCAGAUCAGGGCAAUCUGCAGCCAACCUUUUUGAUUUCAUUUUCCUUCAUUUGGUGUUGCAUGGUACCAGAAUGAAGUCAGGACUGACAACAAAAACCAAGUCUGUAUGUCAUGUAUAGUAGCUUUUUAACAUUUUGCUUCUGGACUGUCAUUUCCCCUAAACCUUCUUCUUUAGGUCAUUCCUCACCCCCUUGGAAAUGACUAAGCUGGGGAGUCCAAGCGGCUAUCUAGGAUGUUGUAAGCAAAAGAGGGUGAAAGUUUCACAGACACAGCUGGCAAUUUUUUUCAACUCCCAGUGUACACAGUGCAGAGACUUGUCUGUUGAAUGUUUCCACACAUCUAUUUCUGCUGUGCUCUUCAUACAUUGUACUUUUAUAUUUGUAAUGCUGCACCCUAUCCUCCAUCAGGGGAUUCUCCUGCAGCAAGAAAUCCCCUGCACCCUCCACCAGAGAAGAGAGAGCCCUUAGCUAGUUGACCUGCCACCUUUCCAAAAAAAAAAAAAAACUUUUCAGGUGCCAGGACAAGUAGUCAAACCAGAUUCAUGGACUGAGGUGAUUAUUUUGCCUCUGCAAUAUCAUCAGGUACCAUCGGGGAUAAACUUUAUUGCAUGGACAGAAAAAUGAUUUGCAUGAUUUAAAAAGAACUGAUAAAGGGGAGAGCAAUAUACAUUAGACGCACUAUCUCAGUGUCAUGCUUAAAGAGAAGCUUUACAUUUGUACAAUUAUUUGUUUUAUUGCUGACAAAAAAUGUACAUUGUUUUUGUAAAUUGAUUAAGCAGAUUAAGAUGUAUAUAUGUGUGUAUAUAUAUAAAAUGUACUUUUGUUCAACAAGUAAAAUGGAGUUAUUUCAAAGCUGAGUUGAAUAAAAAACUCCUUAUACAA